rnacentral:tRNA from 1 species
GCCCGGGUGUUGGAAUGGAAGACAAAGUGGGCUUAAAACCCACUGGAGAUUCAAUCUCCGUGAGGGUUCGAGUCCCUCCCCGGGCACAA